rnacentral:rRNA from 1 species
ACGGGGGUUUCGCUCUACACCCUUUGUGACAUACCUAUAACUGUUGCUUCGGCGGGUAGGGUCUCCGCGACCCUCCCGGCCUCCCGCCUCCGGGCGGGUCGGCGCCCGCCGGAGGAUAACCAAACUCUGAUUUAACGACGUUUCUUCUGAGUGGUACAAGCAAAUAAUCAAAACUUUUAACAACGGAUCUCUUGGUUCUGGCAUCGAUGAAGAACGCAGCGAAAUGCGAUAAGUAAUGUGAAUUGCAGAAUUCAGUGAAUCAUCGAAUCUUUGAACGCACAUUGCGCCCGCCAGCAUUCUGGCGGGCAUGCCUGUUCGAGCGUCAUUUCAACCCUCAAGCUCUGCUUGGUGUUGGGGCCCUACAGCCGAUGUAGGCCCUCAAAGGUAGUGGCGGACCCUCCCGGAGCCUCCUUUGCGUAGUAACUUUACGUCUCGCACUGGGAUCCGGAGGGACUCUUGCCGUAAAACCCCCCAAUUUUCCAAAGGUUGACCUCGGAUCAGGUAGGAAUACCCGCUGAACUUAAGCAUAUCAUAGUCGGGGAAAGAAUCA